CGACUCUGGUUUCUCUUCACGCACAAGCCUUUCGCCUUUUACUAAAGACUUCCUGGAGAGAACACUUACGAGUUCAACGUAUUUUUGGAAGGGCUUUGCUUUCUGGCAGAGC
rnacentral:snRNA from 1 species